rnacentral:rRNA from 1 species
CCUACGGGAGGCAGCAGUGGGGAAUAUUGCACAAUGGAGGAAACCCUGAUCCAGCCAUCCCGCGUGUGCGAUGAAGGCCUUCGGGUUGUAAAGCACUUUUGGCAGGAAAGAAACGUCAUGGGCUAAUACCCCGUGAAACUGACGGUACCUGCAGAAUAAGCACCGGCUAACUACGUGCCAGCAGCCGCGGUAAU